rnacentral:rRNA from 1 species
UACGUAGGUGGCAAGCGUUGUCCGGAUUUACUGGGCGUAAAGAGCGCGCAGGCGGUCAGAUAAGUCGAAUGUGAAAGCCCCCGGCUCAACUGGGGAGGGUCAUUCGAUACUGUUCGACUCGAAGGCAGGAGAGGGAAGUGGAAUUCCCGGUGUAGUGGUGAAAUGCGUAGAUAUCGGGAGGAACACCAGUGGCGAAGGCGACUUCCUGGCCUGUUCUUGACGCUGAGGCGCGAAAGCUAGAGGAGCAAACGGG